UCACACCAUGAAUGUGCACAGGCACAAGUGUG
rnacentral:piRNA from 1 species